rnacentral:lncRNA from 1 species
AAUUUUAUAUCUGAGCAUGGAUAGUAGAUCACCAUAUCCAAAAUCCAUGGUAGAUGGUUCUUCAUGAUGCUUGAUAGCCGCACACACAUCCAACCUCUACGGGUAUCCACACGAAGUCCUUGUGCUGAUCGAUCUCCUUGGGAGUGCUAGCUCGCAAAGAUACCAUCUUUUGGUUGAUCUAAGAGGAACAUGAUGAUGAUGAAGAAUAAGGAGAUCCUCUCUUUUUUUUUCUGGAUCCAUGCAUCUGAUCUCAACAAUAGAGAUCAAGAGAAGAACCCUUUCUUCUCAAUUUUUUCAUGCAUAAGAGAAAACCUUUCUCUCUUGCUUUUAUUCCCUUAAG